UAAUACCGGAUAUUAUGAGAUUCUCGCAUGGGAAACUUAUGAAAGCUAUAUGCGCCAAGAGAGAGCCUUGCGUUCCAUUAGCUAGUUGGUGGGGUAACGGCCCACCAAGGCGACGAUGGAUAGCCGGCCUGAGAGGGUGAACGGCCACAAGGGGACUGAGACACGGCCCUUACUCCUACGGGAGGCAGCAGUGGGGAAUAUUGGACAAUGGGCCACAAGCCUGAUCCAGCAAUUCUGUGUGCACGAUGAAGGUCUUCGGAUUGUAAAGUGCUUUCAGUUGGGAAGAAGAAAGUGACGGUACCAACAGAAGAAGCGACGGCUAAAUACGUGCCAGCAGCCGCGGUAAUACGUAUGUCGCAAGCGUUAUCCGGAUUUAUUGGGCGUAAAGCGCGUCUAGGCGGAAAAAUAAGUCUGAUGUUAAAAUGCGGGGCUCAACUCCGUAUUGCGUUGGAAACUGUUUUUCUAGAGUACUGGAGAGGUGGGCGGAACUACAAGUGUA
rnacentral:rRNA from 1 species